ACGCUGGCGGCGCGCCUAACACAUGCAAGUCGAACGAGAGAUGAGGAGCUUGCUCUUCAAAUCGAGUGGCGAACGGGUGAGUAACGCGUGAGGAACCUGCCUCAAAGAGGGGGGACAACAGUUGGAAACGACUGCUAAUACCGCAUAAGCCCACGGCUCGGCAUCGAGCAGAGGGAAAAGGAGUGAUCCGCUUUGAGAUGGCCUCGCGUCCGAUUAGCUAGUUGGUGAGGUAACGGCCCACCAAGGCAACGAUCGGUAGCCGGACUGAGAGGUUGAACGGCCACAUUGGGACUGAGACACGGCCCAGACUCCUACGGGAGGCAGCAGUGGGGAAUAUUGCACAAUGGGGGAAACCCUGAUGCAGCAACGCCGCGUGAAGGAUGACGGUUUUCGGAUUGUAAACUUCUUUUCUUAGUGACGAAGACAGUGACGGUAGCUAAGGAAUAAGCAUCGGCUAACUACGUG
rnacentral:rRNA from 1 species